rnacentral:misc_RNA from 1 species
GGAAGGAUCAUUAACGUGCAUCUAAUGCAAAAACCAAACCAAAACCGACCCGUGAACUUAAAAAACCCUAUGUCUUCUUUUUAACUUUCUUCUUGGUCUUUAAACGGACUUUGAAGGAUAGUUAAAAACCCACCACAUUCACCAAAAACCUAAUACACAAACCCAUUCCAUCUGAUUGAAAAAUCGUAAAUAAAUCGACGACUUUCAACGGCGGAUCUCUAGGCUCGUGUAUCGAUGAAGAACGCUGCGAACUGCGAUACGUAAUGCGAAUUGCACAACUCAGUGAAUCAUCGAACCUUUGAACGCAUAUUGCGCUGGGGCAGUCAAUGCCUCAGCAUGCCUGGUCGAGUGUCGUUUCCAAACCUCACACAAGAUUAUGUUUGAUAAAUAGCAUGAAUUUGUUGUUUAUUAUCCUAGUUGCGUGUGGAAACGAUCGAUGAGAGUCAGUUUUUGAGCUUGGUUUCAAGUGAAAAAAUCGUCUCUUUAAAGCCAAAGAUUGUAUUUCAAUCUCAAAAAGAGUAUGUAUUGUAGUUUUUCUCUAAUACAAUGUCUUUCCCAUGUGGUAAACACCUCGUGUGGUCAAAGCGUGUAUCUAUGAGAUGGCUAUACUUAAAGAUACGUAUUUCUUUCUUUGAAUGAAAAUGCAAACUAAAAUGAUUUGUUCAUAGACAAAGAAGGGUAUUUAAACCAUCCUUUUUAUCUCGGACAGACCUCGGCUCAGGCAAGAUUACCCGCUGAAUUUAAGCAUAUAAUUAAGCGGAGGAAAAGAAACUAACAAGGAUUCCCUUAGUAACGGCGAGUGAAGCGGGAAGAGCUCAAGCUUAAAACCUGUGUCUCAUUGGGGGCACCGGAUUGUAGCCUAAAGAGGGAGCGUCCUGGUAGACGGUGACCUAAAUGCUUUGGAAUAAGCUGCCGAAGAGGGUGCGAGCCCCGUUCUUGGUUGCCGAACCUGCCUUUUGUGAUGCCCUUUCAUUGAGUAGGAUUGCUUGAGAGUGCAGUCCGAAGUGGGUGGUAUACUUCAUCUAAAGCUAAAUAUUGACACGAGACCGAUAGCGAACAAGUACCGUGAGGGAAAGAUGAAAAGAACUCUGAAGAGAGAGUGAAAAAGUGCGUGAAACCGUUGAAAGGGAACCUGAUGGGUGCAGUGUCUCGUACGGUCGACAUCUUAGCUCGAACUUGCUAAAGGCUUGUGUGGUUUUGCCAGUGUAAAAACGGCCCAUAUGAGUUCUAGAGGCAAGGUUGGGUGCACUAUGUUGAUCGGGGCCUCUGAAUGCGUUAGAUGAGCGGGAUAAAGCUGUGUCUGGGUAAUCUUCACUCCGGUGGAUGACAUUUCACAGUGUAAAUACGCUUGUUUGACGGAGGAAACUAGGGUCUCGGCAUUUGCCGGAGCGAUGUGGAUGGUUUAUGCUGCAUUACUAUGUUGGCACUUCUUCUGAAGUUCCUUUGUGGUUUAGUGUACGUAGGCUGUUUGUUGCUCUUGAGGCUCCUGGAUUCAGAGUUUAAAUGUGCUCAUCAGACCCGUCUUGAAACACGGACCAAGGAGUCUAACAUGUAUGCGAGUCGUAGGGUGGAAAACCUGAAGGCGCAAUGAAAGUAAAGGCAGAUUCGGUCUGCUAAGGUGGGAACCUGGAAGUACGCAAGUACGGAAGGGUGCACCAUCAACCGAUCAUGACCCUCGGUGAUUGAUUUGAGUGAUAGCAUAUCUGUUGGUACCCGAAAGAUGGUGAACUAUGCCUGUAUAGGGUGAAGCCAGUGGAAACUCUGGUGGAGGCUCGUAGCGAUACUGACGUGCAAAUCGUUCGUCAAAUAUGGGUAUAGGGGCGAAAGACUAAUCGAACCAUCUAGUAGCUGGUUCCCUC